GUCUGUCUAGAGGUUAUGUGAAUCCAGUAGACAAAGGUCUCCAAUUGGGUGACUACCCUCAAUUACCAUGGAAAUCUGCUCAAGAGAAUGCCCCUAAAGGUUGGUGGGAUGAUCAGGAUCGUAGAGACAAAGAAACUCUAGUACCAAGGCAGUUUCCAUACAACAAUCUUUUUUUGGAGCGAGGAGGGGAUCCGUCAAGGGAAGGUAAAACUCUGGUUGGGCCUGUCAAAAGCACUUACGGAGAAAUCACUUCAUAGCUAGUAUAAAAGACGUCAGAUUGUUGUGCAUAUAUAAUAGAGGCACUGUGAGGUAUAAUUAUUGCUGUAGCUGAACUGAUUGUGCAAACAUGCAUGCACAGCGACAACCAACACAAAUCUUUAAUUCUUUGCAUAUAAUAUAAUAAUUAUUAUUGCUGACGUACACAA